rnacentral:rRNA from 1 species
UACGUAGGGUGCGAGCGUUAAUCGGAAUUACUGGGCGUAAAGCGCGCGCAGGCGGUUUUGUAAGCCAGACGUGAAAUCCCCGGGCUUAACCUGGGAAUGGCAUUUGGGACUGCAAGGCUUGAGUGCGGCAGAGGAGACUGGAAUUCCUGGUGUAGCAGUGAAAUGCGUAGAUAUCAGGAGGAACACCGAUGGCGAAGGCAGGUCUCUGGGCUGACACUGACGCUCAUGCACGAAAGCGUGGGGAGCAAACAGG